GCUACUCUUUUUUUCGUAUCUUUGCCUUUUUCACUAAACAUGAGUUUCUUACCGUUUUCUUUAUGACCAUUCUUUCCAUAACCUCCCAUUCAAACCAAAUCUUGUAUAUUUGGAUCAGCGACCUUACGUUCAUCGGUUGGCCCACUUGAAAUGGUCUGCCUAUCAAAGGGAUUUCCUCCAAAAUAUUUUCAAGGGAAGAAUUCCAACAACAAUUAGUGAAAAAUCUGCUACUGCGGGAUAUGCAAGCACCUGUUUUUGUGGACUACCUGACGACUUGUUAUGCAAGACUACAUGUUCAAGUAAUUUAUGCACGACUACCUAUUCAAGUAAUGAGAAAAUAGCAUGAACACUAUUUAACUACCUCUUUACCUUCAGAUAGGCAAGAGGAUACUACACCAAUCAAUUCUUGUAGAGACGUUUUAUUCUUCACUUCAUUUCAGUCUCAAUAUUUGAUAUCUCGCUACCAUCUGUACAAAGAGCUUCUCCUUCUUUCUCUUCACUUGGUGUUUGUCCCUUACGACCAGCUUCAUCUAGAAUCUUAUCAAGCAUUAUAUCCUGAAGAUAUUCAUUUUUACAGAGCAACAUAUUAUUGCGUCACUAUGGUGCCACAGUUCUUUCAGAACAGCAUCACUAGCUUGAGAAUCAACCUGGAACAGGUCUCCUCCUGUAUGCACCCAGUUGGAAGUUCGAAGUACAAGAAAGAGCAAACUGAAAGAAUGAGAAAUUGUUGAUGCUUCAGAUUGAAAAUCCGACGUACGUAGCCAUUGAAGGAGGCCUGCUGAUGCUUG
rnacentral:misc_RNA from 1 species